rnacentral:rRNA from 1 species
CAAGUCGAACGGCAGCGGGGGCUUCGGCCUGCCGGCGAGUGGCGAACGGGUGAGUAAUGCAUCGGAACGUACCCAGUCGUGGGGGAUAACUACGCGAAAGCGUAGCUAAUACCGCAUACGCCCUGAGGGGGAAAGCGGGGGACCUUCGGGCCUCGCGCGAUUGGAGCGGCUGAUGUCGGAUUAGCUAGUUGGUGGGGUAAAGGCCUACCAAGGCGACGAUCCGUAGCUGGUCUGAGAGGAUGAUCAGCCACACUGGGACUGAGACACGGCCCAGACUCCUACGGGAGGCAGCAGUGGGGAAUUUUGGACAAUGGGCGCAAGCCUGAUCCAGCCAUGCCGCGUGAGUGAAGAAGGCCUUCGGGUUGUAAAGCUCUUUCAGACGGAAAGAAAUCGGGCGCGUGAAUAGCGUGCCUGGAUGACGGUACUGUCAGAAGAAGCACCGGCUAACUACGUGCCAGCAGCCGCGG